rnacentral:rRNA from 1 species
GACGAACGCUGGCGGCGUGCUUAACACAUGCCAGUCGAACGGAAAGGCCCUGCUUGCAGGGUGCUCGAGUGGCGAACGGGUGAGUAACACGUGGGUGAUCUGCCCCUUACUUUGGGAUAAGCCUGGGAAACUGGGUCUAAUACUGGAUAGGACCAUGCUGUAGGUGGUGUGGUGGAAAGAUUAGUUUCGGUAAGGGAUGAGCUCGCGGCCUAUCAGCUUGUUGGUGGGGUAAUGGCCUACCAAGGCGUCGACGGGUAGCCGGCCUGAGAGGGUGGACGGCCACAUUGGGACUGAGAGACGGCCCAGACUCCUACGGGAGGCAGCAGUGGGGAAUAGUGCACAAUGGGCGCAAGCCUGAUGCAGCGACGCCGCGUGGGGGAUGACGGCCUUCGGGUUGUAAACUCCUUUCAGCCAUGACGAAGCCCUUGUGGUGACGGUAGUGGUAGAAGAAGCACCGGCUAACUACGUG